UUGGCGUUCCCUUCCUUUGGUUAAUUUUCCAUCCAGAAUUUCAGUCCUUUCGGGCAACCCAUAUUUUUCCUUGGCUUUUCAAAAAUAAAUCCAUCGAAAUUAUAAAUGUCACCCCCACCAGAAAGAUGCGACACUCUUCCUACUCUGCGCCAAAUGUCGCAAGAAGCAUGGGACAUCGUGUCGACAAGGUUGCGCGACGACCACAUGACACGACGGCUAAGAGACGUUUUCGAAACGUAUUACCUCGACUUUACCGUUAAAGAAGCGUCACUCAUGGCGAAGCGAUAUUAUUACGCGAUCCUCCGAGUGUCAGAGGCGGGAGAGGA